GGCUUCUUGAGUUGUGAUUAAAAGAGGUCAGGCCUGCCCGGUGGAGAGGUUCUAAACGGUCGCAGCUUUUACUGUGCUAAGGUAGCGUAAUAGGUCGUCCUUUAAUUGGGGAAAAGUAUGAAUGGUCAGAUGGUGGAAAUACUUUAUUAGAAGCAUAAAUUUGAAAUUUACUUUCAGUGUGCAAAGGCCUGAAUAUAUAUAUCAGACGAGAAGACCCUGUUGAGCUUAAUAAGGUGUAGUCGUCUGGGCUACGCUGUACGUUUGUUCGGGGCCGAGAGGAAGGGAAGACUAUUCCUUCUUAGUUAGUGAGGAUCCAGCAUGGCUGAAAAGAGGAAGAUAGUUACCACAGGGAUAACAGCGCAAUUUUUCUGUCAAGAUCUUAUUUGAGGAGGAGUUUGCGACCUCGAUGUUGAAUCAGGAUUUCUACUAGGUGUAGCAGCUUAGUAAGUGGGACUGUUCGUCCUUUGAAAUUUU
rnacentral:rRNA from 1 species